rnacentral:lncRNA from 1 species
AUAUUUUAAUUUGCAGAUCAGGUAUGUGGAGUGCUCUAGUAGAUGUAAGGAAAUAUGCGGUAUGGUACACGCUGACAAUACCUUUCCCAUGCCAAACCAUACUUUUUCUUACAGUGAUGUUCAUCACGAGCUUCUCGAUGAACAAGCAAGCAGAUGAAAUAAAUCACAUAGAAAUAUGGCAAAAUGUGAUUGAAACCACAGGGUAGGGACCACGCAAGUGCCAUGAUGAUAUCACCAAGGUAAUUGGGGUGACGAACAAACCCCCACCAACCUGUGACAAGAAGCCCUUUUCCAGUCGCAGUGGGUAUAACUUUCAGAUAGGACAAUUUGGGAUCUGCUGGAUUCCUUCGGAAAUUGUUUUUCUGAGAAUUUGCACUACGGAAUAUGUAAUAACCAAUACAGUUCAGAAUAGUAAUUGCAGCUGCAACCGGCCAAGAAAUUGCAAUAGGGUGUCCAACUAAAUAGAAGGCCUGUAGGCUGUAGACAAAUGGAACCCACACCAAAUCUCCAAAGGCUAGCAUGAAUCCAAAUCCAUCAUGGGUAAUGUCCAUUGUAGUCAAAACAGCUUCCUCAUUCCAAAGAGCAUCCACCACAUAUAGAAGCUGAAAGCUGUUCACGAGUAUCAUUGACAGCGAUGGCAUACUUUGAUUGUGUAUCUUCAUCUCAGCCAAGAGCAUUGCCAAGUUUAUGACAACCCAGCCAAUUAAUCCUGGACGUAACUCACAGAAGUAUUUGAGGUCAAAACUGCCAAUACGAGGGUUCAAUUCGUGUCCAGUAAAGAAGUCAUAAACAAGAUAUCCAGAAUUUCCACCUGGCGCUAGGUCUUCCUCAGGUGCCUUCAAGGAUCGAAUGUACAAAUAGAUGCUCAAUGCCAUAGAAAAAGCUGCAGCUGACACUGCAAACUGCAC